rnacentral:rRNA from 1 species
UGGGGAAUAUUGGACAAUGGGCGCAAGCCUGAUCCAGCAAUGCCGCGUGUGUGAAGAAGGCCUUCGGGUUGUAAAGCACUUUUAUCAGGAGCGAAACGCUGUCGGCUAAUACCCGGCGGAACUGACGGUACCUGAGGAAUAAGCACCGGCUAACUUCGUGCCAGCAGCCGCGGUAAUACGAAGGGUGCAAGCGUUAAUCGGAAUUACUGGGCGUAAAAGCGUGCGUAGGCGGUCUCUUAAGUCUGCUGUGAAAUCCCCGGGCUCAACCUGGGAAUGGCAGUGGAUACUGGGAGGCUAGAGUGUGUCAGAGGGUGGUGGAAUUCCCGGUGUAGCGGUGAAAUGCGUAGAGAUCGGGAGGAACAUCAGUGGCGAAGGCGGCCACCUGGGACAACACUGACGCUGAGGCACGAAAGCGUGGGGAGCAAACAGGAUUAGAUACCCUGGUAGUCCACGCCCUAAACGAUGCGAACUGGAUGUUGGUCUCAACUCGGAGAUCAGUGUCGAAGCUAACGCGUUAAGUUCGCCGCCUGGGGAGUACGGUCGCAAGACUGAAACUCAAAUGAAUUGACGGGGUCAUAGCUGUUUCCUG